GACGAACGCUGGCGGCGUGCUUAACACAUGCAAGUCGAACGGAAAGGCCCUGCUUUUGUGGGGUGCUCGAGUGGCGAACGGGUGAGUAACACGUGAGUAACCUGCCCUUGACUUUGGGAUAACUUCAGGAAACUGGGGCUAAUACCGGAUAGGAGCUCCUGCUGCAUGGUGGGGGUUGGAAAGUUUCGGCGGUUGGGGAUGGACUCGCGGCUUAUCAGCUUGUUGGUGGGGUAGUGGCUUACCAAGGCUUUGACGGGUAGCCGGCCUGAGAGGGUGACCGGCCACAUUGGGACUGAGAGACGGACCAGACUCCUACGGGAGGCAGCAGUGGGGAAUAUUGCACAAUGGGCGGAAGCCUGAUGCAGCGACGCCGCGGGCGGGAUGACGGCCUGCGGGUUGUAAACCGCUUUCGCCUGUGACGAAGCGUGAGUGACGGUAAUGGGUAAAGAAGCACCGGCUAACUACGUG
rnacentral:rRNA from 1 species